AUUGAACGCUGGCGGCAGGCCUAACACAUGCAAGUCGGACGGUAGCACAGAGGAGCUUGCUCCUUGGGUGACGAGUGGCGGACGGGUGAGUAAUGUCUGGGGAUCUGCCCGAUAGAGGGGGAUAACCACUGGAAACGGUGGCUAAUACCGCAUAACGUCGCAAGACCAAAGAGGGGGACCUUCGGGCCUCUCACUAUCGGAUGAACCCAGAUGGGAUUAGCUAGUAGGGGGGGUAAUGGCCCACCUAGGCGACGAUCCCUAGCUGGUCUGAGAGGAUGACCAGCCACACUGGAACUGAGACACGGUCCAGACUCCUACGGGAGGCAGCAGUGGGGAAUAUUGCACAAUGGGCGCAAGCCUGAUGCAGCCAUGCCGCGUGUAUGAAGAAGGCCUUCGGGUUGUAAAGUACUUUCAGCGGGGAGGAAGGCGGUGAGGUUAAUAACCUCGCCGAUUGACGUUACCCGCAGAAGAAGCACCGGCUAACUCCGUGCCAGCAGCCGCCGUAA
rnacentral:rRNA from 1 species